GGAUGGGUGGCCGAGCGGUUUAAGGCAGCGGUCUUGAAAACCGCCGGGCGCGCGAGCGCCCCGUGGGUUCGAAUCCCACCCCAUCCGCCA
rnacentral:tRNA from 1 species